rnacentral:rRNA from 2 species
AGUUGCGAUCAUACCAACACUAAUGAACCGGAUCCCAUUAGAACUCCGCAGUUAAGAUGCUUGGGCAAGAGUAGUACUAGGAUGCGUGACCUCCUGGGAAGUCCUCCUGUUGCACCUC